rnacentral:rRNA from 1 species
GUGGGGAAUUUUGGACAAUGGGCGCAAGCCUGAUCCAGCAAUGCCGCGUGCAGGAAGAAGGCCUUCGGGUUGUAAACUGCUUUUGUACGGAACGAAACGGUCCGGGUUAAUACCCUGGGCUAAUGACGGUACCGUAAGAAUAAGCACCGGCUAACUACGUGCCAGCAGCCGCGGUAAUACGUAGGGUGCAAGCGUUAAUCGGAAUUACUGGGCGUAAAGCGUGCGCAGGCGGUUUUGUAAGACAGGCGUGAAAUCCCCGGGCUCAACCUGGGAAUUGAGAUUGUGACUGCAAGGCUGGAGUGCGGCAGAGGGGGAUGGAAUUCCGCGUGUAGCAGUGAAAUGCGUAGAUAUGCGGAGGAACACCGAUGGCGAAGGCAAUCCCCUGGGCCUGCACUGACGCUCAUGCACGAAAGCGUGGGGAGCAAACAGGAUUAGAAACCCUGGUAGUCC